rnacentral:lncRNA from 1 species
AAUAUGUAUAGAUUAUCGGGUUUUCUACACAUUGAUAUCGUAAAAUAUCAGCCGCGAGCCACAAUGUGAACCUUUUUGGCGAGUGAGCGUAGCGAACGAGCUAAAAAGUUUCACAUUGUGUCGAGCGGCUGAUAUUUUACGAUAUCUAUACGAAGAAAACCCGAUUAUCUUUUUAUCGUUCUGUUACUGGUCGUUUCUUUCUCCCUAAGACAGUUUUACGCUUGACAAAAGCAAGCUUGAUAACGUCUCCUCUCGCAUUGUGACGUCGCUGAUAACUUCUCCUCUCACAUUGUGACGUCGCUGAUAAUGCCUGGUCUCGUUUUGAAGUCUUGAUACGAGAAUUACGGAGCAACAGAGCAGGGUGAUAUAGGCGGAGGGAAGGACGAUAAGUCUUGAUUGAGGUAAGCAAUCUCAAUUGAUAUUUUAUAGUGUGUCUUUCUAUGUUGUGAUGUAACAC